GGGCUACAUUUUCUUGUAUUAUAAACAUGCAGGCCACUACGCAUGUAGUCAGCUACAAUUCCAUUCUUGAGAUGAAAUCUAAAGGGAUACAUUAACCCACGCUGCAAUCAUGGUGUUCACAACUAUGAUCCUUACUCAUCCAUUUUUGUCUUACAAACCACAUUGAAAUGCAGAUUACACAUACAUAAAACCAAUAUAUCAUUGUACAAAGUGAAGUUCACAUCAUACUAGUGCUUCAAGUGAAGACAUGACUCAAAUCACCCCUUUAAAUUGAGCUCUUUCCUUUCCCGUCACAUUUCUCAAUUCCUUUUCCCUUGCUAAAAGUCAUAUGCAAUAAAAUGUCGACGCCUUGUUUCUCGCUAAUUUUGGCUAGCCCAUUAAAUAAUCUUGGCAAGUUUUCGUCUUCCCUGUCGGGUGCCUCAUUGACAGCAUCAUUAAUGGAACUCGAUUCCCCGUCUAAAGCUUCAUCUUUCACCCAAUAGAAGUACCCACAUUCGUUACUACAGGUAAAGAACAAUCGACCGUUGUUUAGCAGUAUCCCAUUUGACCUGAAAACAUUUUCGAUAUCCAUGGUCACAACUAGGGCAUCGACGUAUUAAUUGGCAUUGUCCGACGUAGUGUGUGUUGCUUCUGCAACUGUGAUAGACUCCAAAAUUCCUUCAUCUCAUUAUAGUCGAUUGCUGCAAAUGAAACAAACUUGUUAAAAAGGUAGACUCGAAGAUGUAGUUACAUGAUUAAUUAUACAUACAUAAGAUUGAAAAUAUAAUAAACACAAACUCAUGGGUUCAAAUAUCUCGUAACAAUCACAUUUACCGCUGUAUAGAAGCUGAUAAAAGGAAUAGAACUAUACAUCAUUUGUAGGUCCAGAGUGUUAGAUGGUACAAAUGCAAUGGAUUUAAGCACAAGAGACUGGGGAAGUUCUACCUUUCACCAUCAUCCUCUAAUCUUAAUGAUCCAUGGAAGUUCUACCUAAAGUUUUCGAUGCAAGAAAUUCCAGUUAAAUUUGUCUAUACCAUCCACACCCCUUUAUUUUGGAACAUCAAUAACCCUCAAGUGAUAAUGCUUGCUAAUCAAGUUGACUUCAAUAACCUGGGAGUCUAUUUAAUUUGUAGGCUAUAGUUUGUGACCAAAAUACUCUAUUAUACAUAAAAUACUCUAACCCAAGCAACCAGAUCCUGUGAUCAUCAACUGUGGUUAGAAGCUAGACUUGCCCUAUUUGCAGGCUACAGUUUGUGACUAGUGGAAUGCAGCCACCCCCUCAAAUCAUGGGCGACGGACUCGUGGUUGAACCUUCCAAGAUUGCCAGAUUGUAAAUAGCGAGCAAUUUCUUGUCUAACUGAAUGGAGGCUCCACACCACACUACAAGUAGGUUUUAAAUUUUCAUUUCACAGAUCUUCAUUUAUCUUCUUCAGCCUUACGAAUGAGCACUAGUUUGUGCAAAUAUAGAUAUGCCCAACAGAAUGCUUACCGAAUGUUAGUUGCAUAUUCCGUCGGAGGAGAAGGAGGUUAGCGCGACGGUCGAUUUCACUUUGGGUGGGUUAGUGCGGCAGUCGCGAAUUUCACAAAUUACUUUGGGUGUUCUUCGCUGCGCCGCUUCGUCGCCGACUUGAGGUGGAGGUUCGCACCAUAGUCGAUUUCACUUUGGCUAGGUUUGUGCGACGAAUGGUAUUGGGCAGAAAGGACUAUCUUUGAAGGUAGGGCAAAAUGACGAAGAUGACUUCCCUGUUCCAGAGUAUUUGGUUUUUUCUUUUCAUUUUUUUGUUUUGUUUUUUAAUUAG
rnacentral:lncRNA from 1 species